rnacentral:rRNA from 1 species
UACGUAGGGGGCAAGCGUUGUCCGGAUUUAUUGGGCGUAAAGAGCGCGCAGGCGGUCGAUCAAGUCGAGUGUGAAAGCCCCCGGCUCAACUGGGGAGGGUCAUUCGAUACUGAUCGACUCGAAGGCAGGAGAGGGUAGUGGAAUUCCCGGUGUAGUGGUGAAAUGCGUAGAUAUCGGGAGGAACACCAGUGGCGAAGGCGACUACCUGGCCUGUUCUUGACGCUGAGGCGCGAAAGCUAGGGGAGCAAACGGG